rnacentral:rRNA from 1 species
UCAUUAGUUUUUUAAUUGAAAGCUUGUAUGAAUGGUUUGAUGAAAAAAUAACUUUCUAUACUUAAAUUUUUAAGAAUUUUAUAUUUAAGUUAAAAAGCUUAAAUGUUUUAAUUAGACGAGAAGACCCUAUAGAGUUUUAUUUUAUUUAUUUAAUAAAAUUUUAGAAUUAAUUUUUUUUUAAUUUAAAUAAAAUUUGAUUGGGGUGAUUGAAAAAUUAAAUGAACUUUUUUUUUAUUUUUACAUAUAUAUAUGAAUUUAUGAUCCAUAGAAAUGAUUACAAGAAUAAAUUACCUUAGGGAUAACAGCGUUAUUUUUUUUUAGAGUUCAAAUCGAAAAAAAAGAUUGCGACCUCGAUGUUGGAUUAAAAUUAAUUUUAGGUGUAGAAGCUUAAA